UAAUGGGUACAAGAGUUUAAGUUUUGCAAGAUGAAAAAAUUCUGGAGAUUGGUUGCACAGCAAUGUGAAUACACUGAACACUUGAAUUGUAUGCUUACAAAUGGUUAGGAUGGUAAUUUUUAUGUUAUGUGAGUUUUAAAUUAAAAAUUAAAAAAAAUAGGAGACUUCACAUUAAAAUCUGGAUUUGCAGGUUCUCUUGACGAAGAAGAAAUGGAGCAAUCCAGAACCUACAUGGAGAGCUGAGCAGCCCUGUCCCUAUAAAUUGGGUAUGCUCCCUCUAUCUCCUGAUUUCCAUCAUGCCCACCACUCCAUUUUCCCUCCUCUGCUGCAAGGCUGGUUUCGGUGGCCAUUUUUCAUUUAUAGUUGCUAUGCUCAGAAUUAAGAGGAAAGCAAAGUAUAGCUCGUAUUUAUGCUUUUAUUAACAUUUUUCUUUUACCUGGCUUGCUUUUUCAUUAAUGUUACCUUUUUGGUCUCUAUGGGCACACAAGCUUGUUGCUGUUAACCAAAGGGUAGGCUAGUUUUUAGUAGGAAAGUGUCAAAGAAAAGAGAGAAAUGAUCAAUGGGGUCUUUGGCUUUGGCUUGAUGCUAAAUGUAAUGAUUUGUUUUUUAAGCCAACAUGCUUCUUUUGGCAAGAUUCUUGACAAUUAAAGCAUGAAACUGCCUUUAGUGCUCAGUUGAAGCCAGAUGUGUCCUUGGGCACUUAGCAUAGGGAUAUAACUGGGUGCAGUUUCGUGAACAUGCUCUUAUUUUGGUGUGGGGGCAAUACUAGCAGCCCCCUCUACUAAAUGCAUCCUGCACCACAUGAUUCACUGACUGAACAAAACUAAACAGAUGCUUUCCUGAUAUUCACUCUGGCACAAGUCUGGGUAGCCACGUUUAGGAGGGAAAAUCUUUUUUUAGCUGGCCUAAAGUAAAAGAGUGAGCUCUUUGACCAGUAACCAAUGCCCUCAGGGCUCCUCUAAGCUUCCCAGGGGUUCCAUGAGGUGCCAGCAUCUGCUUUUCCCCAAAUGAUCAUUCUCUACUCCACCCAUGAUCCUGAUCCGUUAUCAUUUACCUGCCUGUGUUCCAGUUCCUCAGCUUAUCCAGGUGAUAGUAAUUUAUCUGAUAAACUGAAUUACAGCUAAGACAUUAAUGGAUGAUGAUGGCUUAAUGUACACCCCUGCCACACAUAGCAUGGAAAUGUCCAUGUCUUAUCCUGAGGGAUAACUGUGGUGGACAUGGGAGCCGCUAUGCCAGGCCAUUGAAAUGAUAUUGGGGACAGUGAGGACAUCUCUGUCCAGGCCUCCACACUUGGGCUCCAUUUGCUCUCUGCCACUAUGAAUGCCAAUCACAAAUUCCACCUGACAGAAGGAUCUGGUUAUUACUACCUGUUAAAUGCCAGUCUUUCUUGGCCAAUUCAAGAAGACCCUUGCACAUUUAUAAUUAAACUCAUUUGCCUUAAAGGAAUGUGGAUAGAAGGGGUAAAACUAGACCUGAGGCUGCUGAAUGGGCAACCACCCUGUCUCUACCCUGAACCUGCUAGGCUAGGUUAGAGGCUCAAAGCCAGAUGCUAGAAACAGGUGUGAAUAGGAUUGCUGAGGUCAUGCUUAGAAUGCUUAUUCAGAAAGACUAAACUCAAGCACUGGCCUGCCCCCUACAAAGCAUUCCUGAACCACAGGCCCUUGGAUAGCUUAAGCAUUAUGGAUUCCAGCCUGGAAAAGAGAAUGCAACCAAAAGUCUGAGGGAGGCAGCAGUGUCUGAAGAAUAAGUGAGGCAUGGUGGGUAAUUCCCAGCUGAGAGUCUAAGCCCUGGAAGUUCUGCUGGGCAGGUCUUCCAUUGUGGGCAUUUCUUUCACAGGAAUACAGACAUUUCUGCUUCGUGAUGGAGCAACUGGGAUACAUGAGGAAGCACAGAGCUGUGUAAAUAUAGCACACUCUCCAUGAGUGCUAGAGGAAGAAGAAAAGAGAACUGACCUGGCUGAAAUCCCCUUGAUGUUGCUGCACCCAGGAUAUCUUUCAGAGAUCUCUCUCAGGAAAGACUGUAGAGGUUUCAAAGAGACGGAGAAGUCACCUGGCCCACAUUCCCACCAGUGCCAAGAAUUUCCUAUGUAUCUUUGACAGGAGUCAUCUGGCUGCCUCCUGGGUGCCUCUGAUAAGCAAUACAUGAAGACUAAGGUGGGCACCCUUCCAUCUUUCUGGACUGCAAGACCUUCAAAAUGCUGUGAAGGUCAGUUAACAACAAACGCCUCAGCUUAUCAACUCCCCCCUCCGAGGUAAUUAGGGAACAAGUAUAUGCUAUGAAAGAAAAAUAUGCUCUUAGAGGCCAGCUCACUAGUGAGUGAUUACUCUGAAUUUCAGUACCUACUGUGCCUUUGUAAAUGUGGACCUGAAAUGCUUUCAACAGUGACUUUCCAGUAACCUGAAAAAUGGAAUGGGAAAAACGUGGACUUCUGCAUUAUCAAAAUGUCUGCAGGUAGCACACUUUAAAGGAUGACUAUUACCUGCAAAAGCGUGAUAGCAACCGUCUUUAUCUCUUCUCCACAAAAACUUCCUCACCUCAAAGAUUUCUUUUUGCUUUUAAUGUUCUAUUUUACUUAUUUCAGUAAAAAACUGGGUUAAAAAAAAGUCUUCAGUAAAAAUUCUUGGCUCUGUACCUUCUCCCUCCCCCAACGUCUCUGGAUAGUAAUUGAAUCAAGAUACAUACUUUUUAAACUUUCAAGUUUAUGUUUUCAAAUAUUCUCCAUUUUCUUCCUUUUGAUAUCUGUGGUUCCUAUGUCCUGUGUGUAUGUGUGUGUGUGUGUGUGUACACAUGCACAUGUGCAUGCAUGCAUACCUGGGUGAGUGUGUUUAGCAACUGAAGUAACUUCCAUCAUGAAUGCCCUAGGCAUUGGCCUCCAAACAUAUUCUGAUGCAUAGCCUCCAGCUGCAACAUGACCUACCUCCUGGGUCUGCCAGGACAGUUAUAUGUAUUGGCUUCUUAGAAGAACAAAAUAAAAGUUGUCCGUGAUCCUUGAAUGAAAAUAAAAUCCAUCCCAUCUCUAAGGUGAACCCAGUAUGGAUGCAAUAUACCAAAAAGGGGUGAUUUUAUAAAGGGAAAACUAUGCUGCCCAUAUUAAAAAUGCAAAAUGAUGACAGGUAGAAUAUCUGUUUCUAACCAAUGUCAUAAUAUUUGGCUAAAAAGAAAAAAAAUCAAGUAAUCAUUUGGUCAUUUCCUUCGAAGUGAGUAGGUAAUCUUUAAUAUUCAUCUAAAGCCCAUUGUUUAGCUGUUGCUUUCAUAGAAAUGUUAAAACUGACAAGUUCUAAUUUUUAGCCUGCUUUAUAUUUUAAUGGUAAUAAGAUAUAAGAUAUGCAGUUGCAAAAAGGAGCUUUCCAUGGAAAAAAAUCAACAAUAGACAAUCUUAUACUAAAGAGUAGAUAGUUAGACAAGCAAAGUACUGUCAUCCUGUUGUUUUUAAUGGCUAGAUUUUCAGUGGCUCACCUUCUCCCCAGGCACUUAUUACUCUCUGAGAUGAUCUUGUUAUUUAUUUGUUUUAUUGUCUAACUCCUGUACUAGAAUAAAACCUUCCUGAGAGCAGGAAACUUUUCUGUUUAGUUCAUCACUAUUUUCCAGUAUUAUGUGUGCAGAAUAUGGUGUAUAAUGCACACCUGAGAAAUAUCUGAAUGACUGAGUGAAUGAAUGAAAUAUGAUUUGUAUCUAGGGAUAUUCAGUCCUCAAAAGUUUCUAUGUUCCCAGAAAAUAGAUAUUUAAGUAGAUACUCCAAGACUCUGCUUCGUUUAGUGCUCAAAAGAAAACUGUGCAACCUUAGGGAAGCCAUUUAAUCUCAGGAUGAUUUUCUUAUCUGUACAAUAAGGGUUGGGAUUGGAUGAUUGCCAAGGUCCCUUUUGACUACAGUUCCAAGACUCUAUGACUUCAGAUAAAUGUGGGGAUAUUUCAGUGUCUUAAGGCUCUAAAAUGCCUCUUCCUAUUCCUGGCAAGUUUCAGAGUCGUUAUCUACAGUAUUAAGACAUAAAUUAUAUGUCCGGGCCCUGCAAUGUCAGUCCCAGCUUGGGAAUGUGCCAGGGCUAUGACAGGAAAACCUAAGACAAUUGUAACCACUGCUCUUACCAUGUAAGGAACAUGCCUCUGUGACCAAAAUAGAGCUGAAGAUAAGCUCUUAGCCCACCAUUUGUCACUGAGCAACUGUGGCUCUACCCAGCCCAUUCACAUACGCACUUCAUACCUCCAGCACUCAUCCACACACUCUCGUUUGGGGCUGCAGCUCUGGGUCUGGAAGUGCUCAGUCAGCUACAUUUGAAAUACAGUACUUUAGAAUUCCCUUCAUUAAGCCAAAUAGGGUUUCCUUUCCCCAAAAGAAGGGGGGGGGAAGCAGAUUAAUAUUACUAAAGAGAGAACUGUAUUAAAGUAGAAAGAUUCUUCUGAGGAAAUCAGUCAACAUUUACUGGUAAAGCCCCAAUUUCUAGCACUUGGGAGAAGUUCCAUGAGUGCAGACUAGGAUGAAAAGUUGGGUCUCCACCGGGCUAUACAAGAAAAGAGGCAGACAAAUGAGGAUAACGUGUUCCUUCCAGGCACAUGGAGUUCAGCUCCUCUCCCAUCAGCGGGGUCCCCUUGUGCAGUGCUCAGCAGAGCAACUCUACCCAGCAGCCAUGGGUCUCCAGACUCCCAAACUCAUGCUGUUUCUACCAUAUCACGUUGCCACCCACUUCAUGAUAGAAGAACAAUUAUGUUCUAAUCAAUGGAUCUCUAAAACUUACUCCUGGGGUUCUUCUCUAGAUCAUUUAAAAGCUCCUUGAGCAAACUCUCUAAAGCAGAGAGCCCAGUGAGCCAUACUGACUUGGGUCCUCUGGUUCAGUGAAAGCCACAAGCCCAUGCAAGCUGAGAAGUUAUUUAAUUUGCUCCCAUACGUAGUAGAGAGUCAACUUGUCUCCCAGAAGAGCCUCAGCCUCCCUUGGUUGCCAGUAUUUUGCCUCUUAGAUAAAUAAUAGGGCUAAUAUCUCCUGCCAUUCAUGUUCAGUUUUUCCAUCUGAAGGGGGUUGCUUAGCUCUGCAUCAUAAUUACUCAGGACCCUGAAGGUCUUACUCUGAUACUGCUUAAAAGAUGCUCCAGAUGCUCCAGUGGUUCAAAUGAUUAUUAGCAUUGUUACAAUAAGUGUGGUCUUUCCAAGCUAUGAGAAUAAUAUGAGGUAACACUUAUCAAGCCCCUGGCAUGUGCCUCUUACCCCAAUUUAUUCAUCUCAAUAACACUGUGAAGAAUGUAGUAUUAACCCCAGUGUACCAGUGAGGAAGUUGAGGGACAAAGGGCUUAAGUAACUUCCCAAGGUCAUAUAGUUAAAUGACAGCUAAAAGUCUAACUCUGAAACCUGUUCUUUUAAGCAUAUGUUCUAUUGCCUUUGAAAUGUUGCCUUAAAAAUUCUGGAAUGCUUAUUAAAGUGAUUCUUACAAUAUUUAUACAUCAUAUUUGUAACUUCAUGGACAGUGUCCUAAAAGCUAUUUGGGUAAAAUUAUUGUUUUGGAAAUAUAAUAGGUUUGUUGUCAUUGAAGAAUCAUUGGCGGAUCUUAUUAAAGUCCUCAUUUUUCAGAUAAUGGAAAUGCUCAAGAUCAAAUAGUUAUUAUUCAACUUGUAGCUGUUUCCUUUAGACAUGCAUCCAUACAAAACAGGAUUAUUUCUGGGUCUGCUUGUCUGUCAGCCUCAGGAGGACCGGAAUUAAUAGCCUACUCUCUUGGGUAUCUAGUGACAUAGGAUAAAUGCCCUUUGUAAAGACUAUAAGACGGAGACAGAGGUUAUGAUUUUUAGCAAUGAGGAAGGAAAGCCAAGCACAGUAUUCUGGAAACAGAGAGCUCCCAAGGCAGUGCACUUGUCCACUCCAACCAGCAGCCCUCUUUCUGAGUCCUAGCCUAUCCCAGAACAUUUCCUGGGCUGGAAAGGCAAGUAUAGCUCCAGACCAUGCUGGGCUUAUAUAGAACAGCCUAGAAGGCCCUCCAACCUGCAGUCGAGAGCUCUGGGAACAUCUCAGCCUGUGCGACAUUCAGCUAGGAGUACUAAAAAGGCUGAAGGCUCCUUCACCCACUGUCAGAUCCACAGCAAAGAGAAAAAAAAUGCCACUCCUCCUUUUGACACGGUUCAGAUUGCCCUUUCAUGACUACAGCCCUUUUCAAAGCCACUCUCAUAAUCAUUGUAAACUCAUAUCAAUUGCAUACAUUAUUUAAAAAAAAAUUUUUAAUGUUUAUUUAUUUGUUUUGAGAGAGAGAGAGAG